AAGAAAGUGACUGCCGCCCCGCACAGGGGCAGUGCUAAUAGACCGACAAGAAAACAAGUUCCAUAGAAGCCCGAUCAAAAAAACAACCCUCACCCCUC
rnacentral:sRNA from 1 species